rnacentral:rRNA from 1 species
GAUGAACGCUGGCGGCGUGCCUAAUACAUGCAAGUCGAGCGAACAGGCGAGGUGCUUGUUCCUCUGGCGUUAGCGGCGGACGGGUGAGUAACGCGUGGGUAACCUACCUAUAAGACUGGGAUAACUUCGGGAAACCGGAGCUAAUACCAGAUAAAAUCUUGAAACACAUGGUUCAACAGUGAAAGACGGUCUUGCAGUCCCUAAUAGAUGUACCCGCUCCUCUUUACCUAGUUGUAAGGUAAAGGCUUACCAAGGCAACGAUGCGUAGCCGACCGGAGAGGUGGAUCGGCCACACGGGAACGGGACCACGGUCCAGACUCCUACGGGAGGCGGCAGUGGGGAACCUCGGGCAUGGGGGGAAGGCCGGACGGGGCACGGCGCGUGGGGUGAGGAAGGUUUUCGGUCCGAAAAACCUGGUUAUUGGGGAAAAAGAAAGUGGGAGGGAACUGUGCACGAAGUGACGGUACCUACUCAGAAAGCCACGGCUAACUACGUG